CCUACGGGAGGCAGCAGUGGGGGAUAUUGCUCAAUGGGGGAAACCCUGAUGCAGCGACGCCGCGUGUGGGACGACGGUCCCCUGGAUUGUAAACUACUGUCCUCAGGGAAGAAGAUGACGGUAGAUGGGGUGGCAGCUCCGGCUAACUACGUGCCAGCAGCCGCGGUAAUACGUAGGGAGCGAGCGUUGACCGGAAUUACGGGGGGUAUAGGGAGCGUAGGCGGGUUUGCAGGGUGGGUGUCAAAUCUACCGGCUCAACCGGUAGCCGCACUCAAAACUGCAGGUCUUGAGUGAAGGAGAGGCAGGCGGAAUUCCUAGUGUAGCGGUGAAAUGCUUAGAUAUUAGGAGGAACACCAGUGGCGAAGGCGGCCUGCUGGGCGUGUACUGACGCUGAGGCUCGAAAGUGUGGGGAGCGAACAGGAUUAGAUACCCGUGUAGUC
rnacentral:rRNA from 1 species